rnacentral:rRNA from 1 species
ACGGCUCAGUAACACGUGGACAACCUGCCCUUAGGACGGGGAUAAACCCGGGAAACUGGGUAUAAUACCCGAUAGGUCUCGAUUGCUGGAAUGCAUCGAGAUUUAAAGCUCCGGCGCCUAAGGAUGGGUCUGCGGCCUAUCAGGUAGUAGUGGGUGUAGCGUACCUACUAGCCUACGACGGGUACGGGUUGUGAGAGCAAGAGCCCGGAGAUGGAUUCUGAGACACGAAUCCAGGCCCUACGGGGUGCAGCAGGCGCGAAAACUUUACAAUGCUGGCAACAGCGAUAAGGGAACCUCGAGUGCCAGGUUACAAAUCUGGCUGUCGAGAUGCCUAAAAAGCAUUUCAUAGCAAGGGCCGGGCAAGACCGGUGCCAGCCGCCGCGGUAACACCGGCGGCUCGAGUGGUAACCGCUAUUAUUGGGUCUAAAGGGUCUGUAGCCGGCCGGAUAAGUCUCUUGAGAAAUCUGGCAGCUUAACUGUCAGGCUUUCAGGAGAUACUGUCUGGCUCGAGGCCGGGAGAGGUGAGAGGUACUUCAGGGGUAGGGGUGAAAUCUUGUAAUCCUUGAAGGACCACCAGUGGCGAAGGCGUCUCACCAGAACGGACCUAACGGCAAGGGACGAAAGCUAGGGGCACGAACCGGAUUAGAUACCCGGGUAGUCCUAGCCGUAAACGAUACUCGCUAGGUGUCGGCCACGGUGCGACCGUUGUCGGUGCCGUAGGGAAGCCGUGAAGCGAGCCACCUGGGAAGUACGGCCGCAAGGCUGAAACUUAAAGGAAUUGGCGGGGGAGCAC